GGCAGUCGUAAUACAUCCUAGCCUUGCUGCGGAAGUUGUUUUCGUCUGUCCUUUAUUUCCUACUGCUGGGUUCCAGGCACUUGGAUUGAUGUCUGGUUAAAAAGUUUUUGAAAAUGCAACACAAUACACAAUACGUUUCAUAUUAUUUAAGAUGCUCUGUUCUAUCUCCCGCUGCCUUUCUUAAGCGAUUCCACAUACAAAGAGCUCAUGCCCAUUCCAUUCGUGCACCUCCACGAUCGUAUUUCUGGCUUUGCCUGAAAUUACCACGUUGGAGAACGUACUUCAAGAAUAGACUGCUCUACCCUAUCGAAUAAGGAGCGCAAAUGAGCUGAGCUGAACCAUUCGGAAAAAGACGCAACGUUCUAGUUCGCCAUGGUUUCCACUAGUUGAAUGACGUUACGUGCAUGGCGUGAGUCGAUGACGUACAAAAGGAAAUGGGAACAGAAGAAUUUGUAAAGCAGGAGCGAGCCUCCAACAUCGUCUCAUGUGUUUCAGAAUCACAUUUCAAAAACGGUUGUGACUGGCAAUGAGAUAGAUAAUAUAUCGACAUCAGUGUUACAAAUUGAGACAUCA